rnacentral:lncRNA from 1 species
AGUUUUCUCUUGUGAUGUUCAAUCUUCUGCUUGAAAAAGGCGAAUCUGAGUCUCCUUUGUGAUGUUCAAUCUUCUGCUUGAAAAAGGCGAAUGUGAGCCUCCUAUUAUAUGCAUAAAUCAAGGUUGGCUUUAGAUUGCUUUGUGGGGUGACCUGUGAGCUUCUAAUUUUGAGCUAUUUUGUGAUAUUCAAUCUUCUGCUCGAAAAAGGCGAAUUUGAGCCUCCUUUUAUAUGCUUAACAAGGCUUGCUUGAGUUUACUCUGGUUGGGUGACUCUUGAGAUUCUGAUUUUGAGCUAUUUUGUGAUAUUCAAUCUUCUGCAUAAAAAAGGCAAAUUUGAGGCUCCUUUUAUACGCUUGAGUUUUCUUUUGUGAUGUUCAAUCUUCUGCUUGAAAAAGGCGAAUCUGAUCCUCCUUUAAUAUGCUUAAAUCAAGGCAUGCUUGAGUUUACUUUGGUUAGGUGACCUGUGAGAUUCUGAUUUUGAGCUAUUUUGUGAUAUUCAAUCUUCUGCUUGAAAAAGGCGAAUUUUUGAUCCUUGUUUCUCAUGUUGGCAACAGCCCUUAUACCAAUAUAUCUGCUUUCUUUCUUGUGUGUGUGAGUGGCUGUUUGGAGAACUUUGGGUGGGUGACUCGUGCUUUAUAUGCUUGAGUUUUCUUUUGUGAUGUUCAAUCUUCUGCUUGAAAAAGGCGAAUCUGAGUCUCCUUUGUCAUGUUCAAUCUUCUGCUUGAAAAAGGCAAAUGUGAGCCUCCUAUUAUAUGCAUAAAUCAAGGUUGGCUUUAGAUUGCUUUGUGGGGUGACCUGUGAGCUUCUAAUUUUGAGCUGGUGAGCUUCUAAUUUUGAGCUAUUUUGUGAUAUUCAAUCUUCUGCUUGAAAAAGGCGAAUUUGAGCCUCCUUUUAUAUGCUUAACAAGGCUUGCUUGAGUUUACUGUGGUUGGGUGACUCUUGAGAUUCUGAUUUUGAGCUAUUUUGUGAUAUUCAAUCUUCUGCAUGAAAAAGGCAAAUUUGAGCCUCCUUUUAUUUUUAUACGCUCGAGUUUUCUUUUAUGAUGUUCAAUCUUCUGCUUGAAAAAGGCGAAUCUGAGCCUCCUUUGUGAUGUUCAAUCUUCUGCUUGAAAAAGGCGAAUGUGAGCCUCCUAUUAUAUGCAUAAAUCAAGGUUGGCUUUAGAGUGCUUUGGGGGGUGACCUGUGAGCUUCUAAUUUUGAGCUAUUUCGUGAUAUUCAAUUUUUUAAUUUUGAAAAAGGCAAAUUUGAGCCUCCUUUUAUAUGCUUAACAAGGCUUGCUUGAGUUUAAUGUGGUUGGUUGACUCUUGAGAUUCUGAUUUUGAGCUAUUUCGUGAUAUUCAAUCUUUUGCAUGAAAAAGGCAAAUUUGAGCCUGCUUUUAUACGCUUGAGUUUUCUUUUGUGAUGUUCAAUCGUCUGCUUGAAACAGGCGAAUAUGAGCCUCUUUUAAUAUGCUUAAAUCAAGGCAUGCUUGAGUUUACUUUGGUUAGGUGACCUGUGAGAUUCUGAUUUUGAGCUAUUUUGUGAUAUUCAAUCUUCUGCUUGAAAAAGGCGAAUUUAAGCCUCCUUUUAUAUGCUUAACAAGGCUUGCUUGGAAUUUAAGCCUCCUUUUAUGCGCUUGAGUUUUCUUUUGUGAUGUUCAAUCUUCUGCUUUAAAAAGGCGAAUCUGUCUCCUUUUAUAUGCUUAAAUCAAGGCAUGCUUGAGUUUACUUUGGUUAGGUGACUCAUGAGAUUCUGAUUUUGAGUUAUUUUGUGAUAUCAAUCUUCUUCUUGAAAAAGGCGAGUUUGAGCCUCCUUUUAUACGCUUAAAUCAAGGCUGGCUUUAGUUUGCUUUCGAUGGGUGAUUCGUGAGCUUCUGAUUUUGAGCUCUUUUCCGAUGUUCAAUCUUCUGCUUGAAAAAGGCAAAUCUGAGCCUCAUUUUAUGUGCUUAAAUCAAGGACGGCUUGAGUUUUACAUUUGUUGAACAUUGUUGGUAUGUGAAUAAAGUUUUGCAUAAUUUUGAUCCUUGUCUCUCAUGUUGGCAACAGCCCUUAUACCAAUAUAUCUGCUUUCUUUCUUGUGUGUGUGAGUGGCUGUUUGGAGAACUUUGGGUGGGUGACUCGUGAGCUUUUGUAUUUUUAGCUCUUUUAUGAUGUUCAAUCUUCUGCUUGAAAAAGAAGGCUAAUCUGAGCUUUCCUUUAUAUGCUUAAAUCAAGGCAUGCUUGAGUUUACUUUGGUUGGGUGACUCGUGAGAUUAGGAUUUUGAGCUAUGUUGUGAUAUUCAAUCUUCUGCUUGAAAAAGGCGAAUUUGAGCCUCCCUUUAUACGCUUAAAUCAAGGCUGGCUUUAGUUUGCUUUCGGCAGUUGACUUGUGAGCUUCUAAUUUUGAGCUCUUUUCCGAUAUGAAUCAAUCUUCUGUUUGGAAAAGGUGAAUCUGAGCCUCAUUUUAAAUGCUUAAAUCAAGGACGGCUUGAGUUUUACAUUCGGUGGACGUUGUUGGUAUGUGAAUAAAGUUUUGCAUAAUUUUGAUCCUUGUUUCUCAUGUUGGCAACAGCCCUUAUACCAAUAUAUCUGCUUCCUUUCUUGUGUGUGUGAAUGGCUGUCUGGAGAACUUUUGGUGGGUGACUCGUGAGCUUCUGUAUUUUGAGCUCUUUUCUGAUGUUCAAUCUUCUACUUGAAAAAGACGAAUCUGAGCCUUAUUUAAUAUGCUUAAAGAAAUGUCUGCUUUAGUUUUACAUUCGGUGAAUGUUGUUGGUGUGUGAAUAAAGUUAUUCAUAAUUUUGAUCCUUGUUUCUCAUAAUAUGCUUAAAUCAAGGAUGGCUUAAGUUUCCUUUGGAUGGGUGACUCGUGACCUAAUUUUUGAGCUCUUUUUUUAUGGUUAAUUUUCUGCUUGAAAAAUGCGAAUCUGAGCCUCCAUUUAUAUUCUUAAAUAAAGGUCAGGCAUUAGCUUUACAUUUGGUGAAUGUUGUUGGUAUGUGGACAAAGUUUGGCAUAAUUUUGAUCCUUUUUUCUCAUGUUGGCAACAGCCCUUACGCCAAUAUAUCUGCUUUCUUUCUUGUGUGUGUGAUUGGCUGUCUGGCGAACUUUGGGUGGGUGACUCUUGAGCUUCUGAUUUUGAGCUCUUUUGUGAUUUCAAUCUUCUGCUUGAAAAAGGCAAAUCUGAGCCUCCUUUUCCAUGCUUAAAAUCAAGGUCGGCUUUAGUUUGUUUUGGUUGGGUGACUCGUGAGUUUCUGAUUUUGAGCUCUUUUGUGAUGUUAAAUCUUCUGCUUGGAAAAGGCGAAUAUGAGCCUCCUUUUGAAUGCUUAAAUCAAGCAUGCUUGAGUUUACUUUUGUUGGGCGACUCGUGAGCUUCUGAUUUUGAGCUCUUUUGUGAUAUUCAAUCUUCUGCUUGAAAAAGGCGAAUCUGAGCCUCCUUCUAUACACUUAAAUCGAGGUCGGCUUUAGGUUGCCUUGGGUGGGUGACUCGUGAGCUUCUGAUUUUGAUCUCUUUCGUGAUGUUCAUUCUUCUGCUUUAAAAAGGCGAGUUUGCUCUCGUUUUAUAUGCUUAAGUGAUUGUUGGCUUUUAGAUUGCUUUGGGCGGUGACUCGUGAGCUUCUGAUUUUGAGCUACUUUAUGAUGUGCAAUCUUCUGCUUGAGAAAGGCGAAUUUGAGCCUCCUUUUAUAUGCUUAAAUCAAGGUUGGCUUUAGUUUGCUUUGGAUGGGUGACUCGUGACCUUCAAAUUUUUUAGCUCUUUUUUAUGUUUAAUCUUCUGCUUGAAAAAGGCGAAUCUGAGCCUCCUUUUAUAUUCUUAAAUAAAGGUCAGGCUCUAGUUUGACAUUUGGUGAAUGUUGUUGGUUUGUGGACAAAGUUUGGCAUAAUUUUGAUCCUUUUUUCUCAUGUUUGCAACAGCCCUUAUGCCAAUAUAAUCUGCUUUCUUUCUUGUGCGUUUGAUUGGCUGUCUGGUGAACUUUGGGUGGGUGACUCUUGAGCUUUUGAUUUUGAGCUCUUUUGUGAUUUCAAUCUUUUGCUUGAAAAAGGUGAAUCUGAGCCUCCUUUUCUAUACUUAAAUCAAGGUUGGCUGUAGUUUAUUUUGGUUGGGUGACUCGUGAGUUUCUGAUUUUGAGCUCUUUUGUGAAUUAAAUCUUCUGUAAUCUGAGCCUCCUUUUAGAUGCUUAAAUCCAGGUCGGCUUGAGAUUGCCUUGGGUGGGUGACUCGUGAGCUUGUGAUUUGAUCUCUUUUGUGAUGUUCAAUCUUCUAAUUAAAAAAGGCGAAUCUGAUCCUCCUUUUAUAUGCUUAAAUCAAGGUUGGCUUUAGUUUGCUUUGGAUGGGUGACUCGUGACCUUCAAAUUUCUGAGCUCUUUUUUAUGUUUAAUCUUCUUCUUGAAAAAUGUGAAUCUGAGUCUCCUUUUAUAUGCUUAAAUCAAGGUCGGCUUUAGUUUUACAUUCGGUGAAUGUUGUUGGUUGGUGAACAAAGUUUGGCAUAAUUUUGAUCAUUGUUUCUCAUGUUGGCAACUGCCCUUACGCCAAUAUAUCUGCUUUCUUUCUUUCUUGUGUGUGUGAGUGGCUGUCUGGCAAACUUUGGCUGGGUGACUCGUGAGCUUCUGAUUUGAGCUCUUUUGUGAUGUUUACUCUUCUGCUUGAAAAUGCGAAUUUCAGCCUCCUUUUGUAUGCUUAAAUCAAUGUUGGCUUCAGUUUUACAUUCAGUGAAUGUUGUUGGUAUGUAAACAAAGUUUAGCAUAAUAUGGAUCCUUGUUUCUCAUGUUGGC